rnacentral:rRNA from 1 species
AUUGAACGCUGGCGGCAGGCCUAACACAUGCAAGUCGAGCGGAUGAAGGGAGAUUGCUCCUGGAUUCAGCGGCGGACGGGCGAGUAAUGCCUAGGAAUCUGCCUGGCAGUUGGGGAUAACGUCCGGAAAUGGGCGCUAUUACCGUAUACGUCCUGAGGGAGAAAGUGGGGGAUCUUCGGACCUCACGCUCUCAGAUGAGCCUAGGUCGGAUUAGCUAGUUGGUGGGGUAAAGGCGUACCAAGGCGACGAUCCGUAACUGGUCUGAGAGGAUGAUCAGUCACACUGGAACUGAGACACGGUCCAGACUCCUACGGGAGGCAGCAGUGGGGAAUAUUGGACAAUGGGCGAAAGCCUGAUCCAGCCAUGCCGCGUGUGUGAAGAAGGUCUUCGGAUUGUAAAGCACUUUAAGUUGGGAGGAAGGGCAGUAAGUUAAUACCUUGCUGUUUUGACGUUACCAACAGAAUAAGCACCGGCUAACUUCGUG